GAUGAACGCUGGCGGCGUGCCUAACACAUGCAAGUCGAGCGAACCCUUCGGGGUGAGCGGCGGACGGGUGAGUAACGCGUGGGUAACCUGCCCUGUACACACGGAUAACAUACCGAAAGGUAUGCUAAUACGAGAUAAUAUAUUUUAAUCGCAUGGUUAAGAUAUCAAAGCUCCGGCGGUACAGGAUGGACCCGCGUCUGAUUAGCUAGUUGGUGAGGUAAUGGCUCACCAAGGCGACGAUCAGUAGCCGACCUGAGAGGGUGAUCGGCCACACUGGAACUGAGACACGGUCCAGACUCCUACGGGAGGCAGCAGUGGGGAAUAUUGCACAAUGGGCGAAAGCCUGAUGCAGCAACGCCGCGUGAGCGAUGAAGGCCUUCGGGUCGUAAAGCUCUGUCCUCAAGGAAGAUAAUGACGGUACUUGAGGAGGAAGCCCCGGCUAACUACGUGCCAGCCGCCGCAGUAA
rnacentral:rRNA from 1 species